ensembl:lncRNA
GGGAAGGUGCAUUCUGCCAGCACUGAAAAAAAGGGCCUAUCCAGGGUUCCUUUGAGGCACAGAGAGAAACACACCGAAUGACAAUUUCUGUCGUUGCUGAUUCAGGCAAGAUAACAGGGCCGCAGAGACAGCUGUCUGGCUUAAGUAUGUAAGGCUGGGCCCGCUCACAGGGACUUUGGAAGCCUCACCUAUGGGUGGAGGCACCGCCUAGGAUUUCCCACUUGCCGGGACAGGCUCUGCAAACCCUCGCUGCAACCGGGGCUGCCCAGCCACUGCGGGGCUG